UACGGAGGGUGCAAGCGUUAUCCGGAUUCACUGGGUUUAAAGGGUGCGUAGGUGGCCAGGUAAGUUUGGUGUGAAAGCUCGGAGCUUAACUCCGAAAUGUCAUUGAAUACUAUCUGGCUGGAGGGUCGGAGGGGAGACUGGAAUUCUCGGUGUAGCAGUGAAAUGCGUAGAUAUCGAGAGGAACACCAGUGGCGAAGGCGAGUCUCUGGACGACUCCUGACACUGAGGCACGAAAGCCGGGGGAGCAAACAGG
rnacentral:rRNA from 1 species